GAGGGCAUAGCUCAGUGGUAGAGCACGUAGCAGGCAUGGGGUCCUGGGUUCAAUCCCCAGUACCUCCG
rnacentral:tRNA from 1 species